rnacentral:rRNA from 1 species
CAGUCGCCACGGUAAUACGAAGGGUGCAAGCGUUACUCGGAAUUACUGGGCGUAAAGCGUGCGUAGGUGGUGGUUUAAGUCCGUUGUGAAAGCCCUGGGCUCAACCUGGGAAUUGCAGUGGAUACUGGGUCACUAGAGUGUGGUAGAGGAUAGUGGAAUUUCCGGUGUAGCAGUGAAAUGCGUAGAGAUCGGAAGGAACAUCUGUGGCGAAGGCGACUAUCUGGGCCAACACUGACACUGAGGCACGAAAGCGUGGGGAGCAAACAGGAUUAGAGACCCCUGUAGUCCCUGUCUCUUAUAA